UCCACGGCCCCGCUCCGCCCCGCCUUUGGCCGCGCUCUGCUGCCAUUGGAACUGGCCCGGCGCCUCGGCACUGCCCCGGCACCGGGAAUGAGACUUGAUUCUGGGAUCGGCACCGGGCCCGGCAGCGGGACUGGGAAUGCGACUGGCGCUGGCACGGAGACACGCACCAGCACCACCACGGGACUGGGAACAGGACCGGCACCGAGACCGGCACUGGGAGAGGACUGAUUCUGGGACUGGCACCGACACGAGGUCAGGGACCAGCUGCGGGAAUGGCCUCGAGACCGGCACCAGGACUCGGACUUGGACAGGGACCGGGACCAACAAUGGCACCGAGAUUGGCACUGGGACCGGAACUGUGAUCAGGACCAGGACUGAGACCAAGACCGACCGGGAUAAGUACCGAGUCGGGGAUAGCAGCCAGGACUGGCAAGGUCAAGGGGCCAGCACCAGGUCUGGAGCCACCCUGCCCAGCGCACUCCAUUCCCGCAGCCAGCUGCCUGGUGCCUUCCCCAUUCCCAUCCACUUGAAGCAACAGGUCCCGGGGGCACCUCUCUCCCGGAAGCCCCAGGAAGGGCCUGGAGGGGCAGGUGCGGCUCGAGGGAGCCCUGGAUGGGGUCUGAAGGGAACUCUCUUCCUUGGCGCAGUGCCGGGAGCGGGGCAAAGAGGGCCUCAUGCCUUUGGAGUAGCCCUUGGGGAAAUUAUGAAGGUUCCAAGGGAGCCUUGAAGUGGUCCCUGAAGGCGACCUGCGGGGAGCACCGGGGCCAACCCUGCAGGGCCAAGGGGCUACUGCUGCUCGGGGCAGCCCAGGGAGGGCCAAAAGAUGUCUCAAAGGGUGCUUGUUCCCUCGUAGCCAUGACUGGAGCAGACUGUGGUAUGUCCAGCCUGUGAAGCUAGAAACACUUGGAGAAGGGAUCUCAGACCUGCGGGACCUGUCACGGGAGAGAUGUUUUAAGCCCCUGUACUUGCUCCUCCUGAUGUGUGCAUGAACAGUUUGGGGGUUUCAGCUGAAUUCCUGUUUAGUCGGGGUCCAUGGGUGCUUGAGUUGCUUGAGGCGGCAGACUUCGUCAUGGGCUGGGGCUGUUGGGCUUUGCCGGCUCCACGGAGCUCCGGAGAGGGCUGGUAAGACCUCAGGAUCUUCCCGGGCAGGGCGAGUGCCUGUCCUGCUCCUGGCAGGCGUUUCCUGAGCUGUUCCUCCCCGGCGCACCCAGUGCUGAGCUCCGGAGAUUACCGAGCACCUCCCUGACAGCCCACGGCUAGAAACGCUCUCGAGUCUUGGCCUGGGAGAUCAGGUACCUCCCUUCCUUUUCUCAGGAUUGUUUCACAGUAGCAUCACAGCUGCAUGCUUUCUCUGUGCCCAUGUCUCUUCUCUGUGCCCUCAUCCCUUCUCUGUGCCUACGUCCUCUCUCAGUGAUCAUGUUCCUUCUUCACGCCCACCUCUCCAGCCCUGUUUCCUGUGGUUCUCGGAGGAAGACUCCGGGCUGAUGCAGAGUUGUCCAAAUUCAGCUCCUCAGUGACAUCUUGUGCUGGGAAAGCUCAGCGCAGGCAGGAGAUGGGAAAAUUAGUUCCUGCAAUUGUUCUUUCCUGCCCUCCCAAGCACUGACAUUGCUGUAACCGGCAGUGAAACCUCGGGGAUUCCCUGAGCUCAUUUGUAAGGUUUGCUUUGGGAACAUCUUGUCCUUCCACGGAGACAGCCGCAGUGACAUUGCCUCUGACAGCUGGGUACAAAACUCUGGAAAAGCAUCAUCUUCCUUCAAAACAUUUCCAGUGUUGACUCUUUUGUGCCAUUUAAUGAUAAUAAUAAUUCACCCAAAGUUCUUCACCAUGAUGAGACUGCAUAUAUGAAUUUUUGGGAUGCAGUUCAAACCUUGUUUCUCAGCCAACUGCCACAGAAAAUUCCCUUCAAAGGCUUUAAUGGCACUGGUCACUCCUGGGAAACGCCUGGUCUUAUCAGGGAAAGCUUCCAAGAGCUGCCUGCUGUGCCAGCAGAGCUGUAGCCCUGCUGCAUCCAGCUAGGUGCAAAGCCAGGUCUGAGUUUCUGAAGAAACUUUAGUCUCAUAGCCAAACUCAGAGAUUAAAUGUUAAAAUCCACUUUUUGAUGGAAAUGAAACCUGAUGAGAUUUCUCUGAGGAUGGUGGUACCUGAAGCAGAGGAAAUCCCUGAGCUGGCAGCCCUGCCAGUGGCAGGGAGACCAACAAGGGGUGCUCGAGGCUGCUCUGGGGACUGUACCAAACCCUCAUGGGUCACCGUAGCCUUGCAGAGCACUGACACCCCAGCUCCCAAUUCCCCUUGGCUGUGACAUUAUGCCCUCGAGGCCACUGUCCCUGUACCCACCAUGCCCAGAGAGUCCUUCUCUUUUCCCAUCCACUGGCAGAAGGGAGUCGUGAGAUGUCCACAAGUGUGCUUGGAGGAAAAGGCACAUCAGUGAAGACCUGAAAUGAUUUUGCUGUUCUUACAGCUGAGAAGGGAUCAUGCUGGAAGGUUUCUGUGGAAGUGGAGCCUGGGGAAUGGACAUGAAAAGCCUUUUAUCCCAGCUGACUCCUUUGGCAGGUAAAUUGUUUACAGAGCCUGAAUGCCAGAGUGCCUGGAAGGGAGCCAGCUCUAUUUUAGCCCUUUGUAAAUGAUUUAAACACCUCAUGCUGGGGGAACAUUCCCAGGAAAGGGGCUGCUUGGCUCUUCUUUCUGGGCGUGCCAGGGGUGCAGGAGAGGUGGAAGGCAGAAGGAACCAGCCCUGACAGGGACAGAAGGAGUGUGUGGUGGGGAUGGCUGUGCCCCUCCUGUCCCCCACGAGCUGCUGCUGGGACCUGAACCAGCUGCUCCUAGUCCAGCUGGCCAGAGGCAUCCUCCCAAACCCCUCCAGAUGAUGUUCCUAAGGAGCCCCUCUAUUUUUUGCAGCCUUUGCCUGCCAGGAGCAUGCCCUGGGAAGGCCAAUGGAACCAAAGGUGCCAGGUGCCCUGUGGGACCCUAGCUAGGUGAGGACAUGCAGCACCUGGGGGCAAUCACACCUCAUGGGGCUGGGGACAAGCUCCUGAGGCUGGAGCAGGGCAACUCCAACCCCCCUUACCCUUGAGGAGCUGGCUGCUCCUUAUUGGUUAAUGUGGUGGCUCAUUUCUCUAAAAAUGGGCUCUUAAUUACUGAGCCUCUGGAAACAGAGUUGUCUCACAGCAAAACCUGAUUGACUCAAGGGCAGCUGCAGCUCCAGUGAGGGCCUGGUGGCCACAGAGCCUGGAUGGCCCCUGCCGGAGACAGCUCCUGGCCAGAGGAGGUUUCAGGCUGGUUCAGGUCAGUUCUCAGCUCACAGUUGAUGGAUAUUUGUUUUUUCCAAGUGUCCCUUGGUUUUGCUUCUUAACUUUCUGUGUAUGUAAUUGCAAGCAAGUGGCACUGAGGGGCACUUGGACUUUUCCUCCAGUGGAACAAAGUGGGAGGAAAAAUGUUAAUUUUUCCCUAGUGCUCCUGAACUGUCUGCAUUGAAUGGAAAAAGCUGUUCUGGUUUCUUAAUUUCUUUUGUGUCGUUUUCCCACCUUCUUCCUUUACAUUGACAAAUACUUUGCGGGAACCUUCAAGCUUUUCCCUUAUUCUCUUGUCCUAGAGAAGGUGUGCAAGAUCCCAAAAAGGUUUAAAAAAAGAAAAAAAUUAGAAAAUAGAAUUAAAAAGGUUUAUUUUCUGGGAUUGUUUCAACUCUCUGAGUUUGGGUUCUUGUGUCAGGAGUGUCUUGUCGUGUUCUGGAGAUGGAGAGGGGGUAUUUCAGAGCCCUAUGGUCCCCCACCGUCCCACAAGCACCACAACCUCUGUGCAGCUGAACAUGGAGUAGUGAAGGGAAUACAGAGGCAUUCUGAGACAAAUUAAGGAGAAAAAGGGAGGAGUGAUUGCGGUUGCUGGCUGCCAGCACGGGCCUUGCCUCCCUCCCUGGCCAGCCUGAAGGCCAUCUGUCACUUGACAGAUCAACUGGACACCGCUCUCCAUCUCCUUCUGUUCCUUUCCAGGCUCCAUGUCUGCUGUGCCUUCCUCCUCCCCCAUGUCCCCUAUGGGCUCUGUCCUGUGAUCACAGCCAGAUCCUGUCCCAGACCUGGGAUGGACACCAUAGAGUCUGGGGAUGCUCAGAGAGCCUUGAACUCUACAUCCAAACCCACAGAUCCUUGCUCACUGUGUGGGCUGCUGAUCCUUGCUGACCUACUCAUAGGCUUUUUUUCACCCUUCAUGUUUUAUUUAUUUCAAGGCUGAAUCUUUCACUCUGGUGGUUGUGUGGCUUCAUUUUUCUCAUUCAAAGUUUCUUCCAAUUGAAGUUGUAUGGGUAAUUUUUUAAUUCUUUGCUCAAGGAAGUACUAAAGGGAGCACCCCUCCUCAGAGGGAUUCAAGCCAUGGCAUCCACAGAGGAGGCUCACCUUGCUAAGCCCCAUUCCUGUUAUCCCACAGCUGUGACAGCCAUCCCAGAACAGGGGAGAACACAGGACAGAACCCCUCCAGAGCUCUGGAGAAUGCUCCACCAGCACAGCCAGGGGACACUGGGUCUGGGACAGCAGUGUUGGUGGAUGACACUGGAACUUGCACCUUGAUUCUGUGAGAAUUCAAACAAUUUUUCAACAUCACCACCAAAUUUCUGCAGAUUUUGCUGGGAACAGGAGAAGGCAACACUACCAAGUCCCUGUUCCUCAAGCUGGCAAUAUGACAAUUUUCCACUGGAAUGACAGAUUUUUUUUUUUUUUGUAAUGCAAGCCAAAUUAAUUUUCCUCUCAUUAGAACUGCUGAUACAGCUGGAAAAAGUGAGCUCUCUCUCUCUCCAAAGCCUCCUUUGCCAGUGAAGGGCAGCAUCCCCCUGGCAGAUCUCGGGGUGUUUGUCUGCCCCAUCUUCUCAUCCCUCUGGUUGUGGCUCUUUGCACUGGAACUUGGAAAGAAAAAUACUACAGAAUGGAAAAUUUCAGGCCUAAAGGGCAAAGUUGGACAGAAUACAGGUGGGACUUGGCAGAGAGACCCAGUUUGUUCCUUGUAGUGAAGUUUUUGCUCUGUGCUUUGGAGAGCUUCUCUGCUGCCCUGCUCCAGCCAGAUCAGGCUCUGCCAGUGUAAAAGAUGAUGUUAACACCAGAACAUGUGACUUUCUCUGCUUUUUCCUAAAAGGUUUUUUUUUUGUUUGUUUUGUUUUUUGUUUUUUGUUUUUUUUUGUUUUUGUCUCUGGAGCUAUGGCUGUUUCAGAAGCAGAUACUGCAGUGGUCUUACAUCCUGUGGGGAUGGCUGUCCCAUUGUCCCAUUAGCCCACCCCACUCCCAGAGGCGGACAAGAAGCUUUGGUCCUCUGGCUGCUUGCCCACAGCAGACACUGCACAUCUAUGGUAGCACCAGAACAACCCUGACACAGCCCUGAAAAAUCGCCAGAUGGAAAUGAGGAACUGGGAUUUUGUUGCCAACUCUGGUUACUAGAAACCAAAAGCGAAGAGCUACUCUGUAUCUGUGCAUUGCUGGCUGGUUCUGGGAUGCGCAUGAGUGCACUUUGAACAAAGGACAGCUAGGAGGCUGCUGUGACUCCAUCUCCCUCCCAUGAAUUCUUCCACUCAGGCCUUGCCAGAGGAUGCCAGCCCAUCCCUGCGAGGUUUGAGGAGCUCUGCAGAAGGACCUUCAUGGGCUGUGCUUAGUCCUGGGCUCCUCUGCACUGGGAAGGACCCCACAGCACUCCUUGGGGACCCCAUGAGUCACUGAGAAAGUCCCCAAGUACUGAGGCCAAAGGCCUCAAAAUUCACCUGUGCAGAAACAAGGUUAGAUGUGAGUAAUUCCAAGGAUUUAAACCAUCUUUAUGUUACUAAAAAGAUGUCUUUAUGCUCUGGGUACUUUUUUGCAGCAAAGGAGAAAAGUAAAAAAAAAAAAAAGGCAAUUUGAAGAUGAGAGAUGAACCUGCUCUGAUGUAAGUUUGGAGAAGUCAUCACCAAAUUUGAUGUGGAGUUGUUGUCCUCUCCUUCCCACCAGGGAGCACUGUGGCAUCUCCUUUCCUGCAGUUUUUGGAGAGAAUGGAUUUGUGUUUCUUACCCAGAAACAGAAAUAAAGAUCCAACAACCUGCCUGUGCAGAUCUCUUGUUC